AUUGAACGCUGGCGGCAGGCCUAACACAUGCAAGUCGAGCGGAUGAAGGGAGCUUGCUCCUGGAUUCAGCGGCGGACGGGUGAGUAAUGCCUAGGAAUCUGCCUGGUAGUGGGGGAUAACGUCCGGAAACGGGCGCUAAUACCGCAUACGUCCUGAGGGAGAAAGUGGGGGAUCUUCGGACCUCACGCCAUCAGAUGAGCCUAGGUCGGAUUAGCUAGUUGGUGGGGUAAAGGCCUACCAAGGCGACGAUCCGUAACUGGUCUGAGAGGAUGAUCAGUCACACUGGAGCUGAGACACGGUCCAGACUCCUACGGGAGGCAGCAGUGGGGAAUAUUGGACAAUGGGCGAAAGCCUGAUCCAGCCAUGCCGCGUGUGUGAAGAAGGUCUUCGGAUUGUAAAGCACUUUAAGUUGGGAGGAAGGGCAGUAAGUUAAUACCUUGCUGUUUUGACGUUACCAACAGAAUAAGCACCGGCUAACUUCGUG
rnacentral:rRNA from 1 species